AACAAAACAUCUCACUAGUCUAGUGGUUGUUAGCUUCAAGUAUUAUGUGAAAGGUCUUGGGUUCAAACUCCCUUGGCUCCGCGAAAUAUUUUUUGACUGUUACGGCUCUUUUACUAGAAAUAGUGACAUCACUUAUGAAAAAUCCUGCGUACGCUACUGAGUGUAUGGUGUAUGUUAUUGUUGUUUUACAUAGCUUAUUAGUAUGUAUAUAUAAGAAAACUGGCAGUUACAUUUCUAAAGCAGCCAAGGAAUUGCCAUUUUAAGACAACUGGUAAAUGUGAGAAUACCAUGUCUUGUUGAUUUGAUAAAGGUUCAUGUUUGGGUUGGUAUAUGUUGUGACUUGUUUAUAUUAUGUUAAACAUGAAGUUGAAUUAUGAGAAUAAGAUGUUUUCUUUUAGUUGUUAUGAAAGCAAUUUUGUGUAUUUUGCUGAAUUUGUGGAUGGCAUUUGUCCGUGGGAGCUUAAAUGUAGAGAUCCGGUUCGAACUCCCUUGGCUCCACAAAAUAUUUUGUAACUGUUACGGCCCUUUUACUAGAAAUAGUGACACCAAUUAUGAAGUCAGGGUACCUCUACAUAUACAACAGUAUCAUUGGACUUGCAUGUUCUAAGGACUUUGCCCUAUCUUGAAAAUAUUUUGAGUUGUCAGUCGAACAAAAGUUUGGGCCACACAUAAGAGCAAUUAUUCCUUGUUUCUUUUUCUAAUCAAAAAGGAAUUAUUUAUUCACUAGG
rnacentral:lncRNA from 1 species